CCCUCCUCUGGAGUUUUGCAGGGAGCCUAGGACGCAGGGAAGUUGUCUGAAUGGCAGAAGAGUUGCGCAAGUAACUGGCAGAUCUCUCUUGUUGAGAUUUCUUCCCACAGCGAAGCUGGUUGUUGAAAUGUCUUCUGAAACUCUCACUGAGCAAAUACAGUGCAAAUGGAUUGACACAAGAGUUGCAGAAGCUUAGCACUCGGGCCACUAAGCAGAAUUUUCAAGAAAUGGAGAAAUUAUUUUCACUUACCAAGAAAAGAGAAGUUUAACAUGAGUGAAGAGGGAUUCAUAUAUUCCAGUGCUUUGCCGAAUCACAGAGUCAUGGAAUAUGCACAGUUGGAAGGCACCCAAAAUGACUAUACAGCUCAACCCAACCCCUGGCUGCAUACAGAACCACCCAAAAUUCAAACACUGUGUCUGAGAGCAUUGUCCAAACCACUCCUAGAACUCCAUCGCCUUGGUGCUGUGCCCACUGCCCUGGGCAGCCUGCAGCCUGUUUCAUGUCUGCCGCCCCUCUGGUAGAGACCCUUUCCCUAACUCCCACCUGUCCCUCCCCUGACGCAGCUCCAUGCCGUUCCCUCGGGCCCUGUCGCUGUCAA